UCUCUCUGCCUCUGACGUAGCCCAGUAUGAUGUGAUUCUAAUUGGAGAUAAAGCCCCCCUCUCUCAAAUUAUUCGAAUCAAUAGUCUUACACACUCAGAAAAUAAGAUCUUUUUGUGUGGAGGAGUAAGAGGAAUCUACGGUUUUUAUUUUAGUGAUGUGGGUAGUAGUUACACA
rnacentral:ribozyme from 1 species